GGGGCUGUGGCGUAAUGGUAGCGCGUGUGACUCCAGAUCUGACUUCCAGGUCGAAUGGUCCAUCAUAAGGUUAGUGGUUCGAUUCCUCUCAGCCUCA